CUGAUAAUGUGUAUAUUUGGACAAACUCGAUAGAAUAAAAUUUGUUGGCUUUGUGUUUUUUGAUCAGUUAAGAAUUUCUUUGACCAUGAAACACAGUAGUUUUGCAUCACUUACAGGUCAGGUAUUGUCUUUGACAUUAUGGCUUGCUCGAGUUUACAUGGAAGAAUACGGAGACGAUGAUAUCUCCUUGUUGUUGACACUUGGUACGCCUCACUUGUAGAAACUAAGGGAGUCUCUGCGUUUCACUUUAACGAUAUUAGCAACAUGGUGUAAGAGACUUGUGAAGCUUGAGCUUAGUGGUUGUGAAGGUAGCUUUGAUGGGAUUAAAACCAUGGGAAAUGUUGUGACUACAGACCUGCUGAGAAUCUCGUCUUGUGGAAAGGUGGAUCCUUGUAUUGGACCAGAGAAGUUGAUGAGGUCUUGUCCGGCUCUCGAGAGUUUGCAACUCAAAAAAUGUUGUUUGAAUGAUAAAGAAGGGAUGGGAGCUUCUUGGGGCAUUUUAUAUUUUAUAUUCGAUGGAUCCUUAUCCUGGACCAGAGAAGCGUUGGGAGCUUCUCGAUGGUUUGUAUCAAUUAGUACACUGAUAUUUUGUAUAAAAUGAUAUUAUUGAGAAAAAUUAUUAUUGAUUUUAUUUUGUUGUGA